rnacentral:rRNA from 1 species
AUCGUCAUUGCUGCGGUUAAAAAGCUCGUAGUUGGAUCUUAGUUACGUACUUUGAUUCGCCUUUGGCGUUAAUCAUUGUCGUGACUAUUUUGUUGGUUUUCUGUUGGUGGCUUCGGCUCCUUCAGUGGCUAGCGAGUUUACUUUGAAUAAAUUAGAGUGCUCAAAACAAGCGUUUGCUUGAAUGCUCGAUCAUGGAAUAAUAAAAGAGGACUUCGGUUCUAUUUGUUGGUUCAGGUAACUGAAUUAAUGGUUAAGAGGGACAACUCGGGGGCAUUCGUAUCCCUGCGCGAGAGGUGAAAUUCGUGGACCGCAGGGGGACGCCCUAAAGCGAAAGCAUUUGCCAAGAAUGUCUUCAUUAAUCAAGAACGAAAGUCAGAGGUUCGAAGGCGAUUAGAUACCGCCCUAGUUCUGACCGUAAACUAUGCCAUCUAGCGAUCCAAUGGGGUAUUGUAGCCUUGUUGGGGAGCUUCCCGGAAACGAAAGUCUUUCGGUUCCUGGGGUAGUAUGGUUGCAAAGCUGAAACUUAAAGAAAUUGACGGAAGGGCACCACCAGGAGUGGAGCCUGCGGCUUAAUUUGACUCAACACGGGAAAACUCACCCGGCCCGGACACCGUUAGGAUUGACAGAUUGAAAGCUCUUUCUCGAUUUGGUGGUUGGUGGUGCAUGGCCGUUCUUAGUUGGUGGAGCGAUUUGUCUGGUUUAUUCCGAUAACGAGCGAGACUCUAGCCUGCUAAAUAGUGUCCAGAUAUAUAAGUCUGGCUUACUUCUUAGAGGGAUAAGCGGUGUUUAGCCGCACGAGAUUGAGCGAUAACAGGUCUGUGAUGCCCUUAGAUGUUCGGGGCUGCACGCGCGCUACACUGGAAGAAUCAGCUGGUCCUUCCAUUGCCGAAAGGUAUUGGUAAACCGUUGAAACUCUUCCGUGACCGGGAUAGGGAAUUGUAAUUAUUUCCCUUGAACGAGGAAUUCCUAGUAAGUGUGAGUCAUCAGCUCACGUUGA